CAAAAAAAAAAGGGGCAAAGGCCCAAAAGUUAUAGGGGUGGCCGGCCAACUCAAUUGGCCCAAGCCCAUAUGGAAAUUAGUCUAAGUAAAUAAAAAAGGGAAGGGCCAAGAAACUUCUACACAAUUGACCAUUCAAGAAAUUAAUUGAGAGAGAAAAAAAAAAGGGGGGGCCAUUCGGCCGUGAGAAAGAGAAAAGAAAAAAAAUAAAAAAAAAUUGGAGCUUAAAUCUUUAGCCCAAAAAUUCACCCCUUGUUGAAUUAAUGCUAAGCUCAAGGUCCUCUUCCAUGUGAUACCAAUUUGAAAGCAAAAGAGUACUUUUUUUUACAAAGUGAAGAAUUUGAAAAAGAUAUUGGAGAGCCCGAGACUUGAGUCGGGAUUUGUUUGGCAAGUGAUCGAGAUUUGGUAGUGAGCGAUCGAGGUACGGACGUUCGUUUUGGUGAUCCUCCAGUAUAGGAUACAUAUUCUGCCACUUGGAUUACUCCUUUUGAUUCGGAGCUCAUAUUUUGGUACAUAUCUUCUGUUACACCCAUUCUGUAUAUAUGUGUAUGACUAUUUGGGUACGGCGGGGCCCUUUCCCGUCAUAUGUUUUGUUAUGUUUUGUAGAGGCCUGUAGUCAUAUAUGUGGGUCAUGGGUCACGUUGUUCGUUUGUGAUUAUGAUUUGCGUCCUAAGGCCCCGUUUACUAUUAUGGCCAAAACGGCCCAAUCUGUUGGUAUGUGUGUGAAUAUCUGGGCAAUGUCUAUUCCGCCAGCUUACUGGAUUUGGUAUGAUGUUUUCGUACGGGCGACCGCUUACGACGAUAUUUGUUUUCAGUAUUUGCUUAAAAUGACGUAUGUUAAGUUUGACUAAGUCUUUGAUAUGUUGA